rnacentral:rRNA from 1 species
CCGUGCGAAGGUAGCAUAAUCAUUAGUUUUUUAAUUGGAGGCUUGUAUGAACGAUUGGACAAGAGCUAAACUGUCUCUUUUUUAAAAAUUGAAUUUUAUUAUUAAGUGAAAAAGCUUAAAUGUUUAAGAAGGACGAUAAGACCCUAUAAAUCUUUAUAAAAGUAAGUUUUUAAAUAAAAAUAUUUAUUUAAAACAUUUAGAAGCUUAAAUUAUUAUGCUGGGGCGGUGUUAAUAUAAAAUAAACUGUUAAUAAGUAAAAACAAAUAUAUUUGAAAUUAAAAGAUCCUUUUUAUGGAUUUAAAGAAAAAGUUACUUUAGGGAUAACAGCAUAAUUUCUUUUGAGAGUUCAAAUCGAAAAAGAAGUUUGUGACCUCGAUGUUGAAUUAAGAAUUCCUUAUGGUGCAGCAGUUAUAAAGGAAAGUCUGUUCGACUUUUAAAUUUUUACAU